rnacentral:misc_RNA from 1 species
GUGUCAUGUUUUGUGUGUGUGUCAUUCAGAUGGCUCGCUCGCGUGUGUGGAGGUAAGAAAAUGAUGGCGCCCCGCGCACGAGCAAAACACGCGCAGGGCCACCAUCAAAAAACAAUGCACAGGGGUACUUAAGGCGGACAUACAGUGAUGAUCCUUCCGCAGGUUCACCUACGGAAA